rnacentral:tRNA from 1 species
GCGGCGGUGGCGGAACUGGCAGACGCGCAAGAUUAAGGAUCUUGUGGUCAUUGAGACCGUGGAGGUUCGAGUCCUCUUCGCCGUACUA